UACGUAGGGUGCAAGCGUUGUCCGGAAUUAUUGGGCGUAAAGAGCGUGUAGGCGGCCCGAUUAGUCCGCUGUGAAAGUCCAGGGCUCAACCCUGGAAUGCCGGUGGAUACUGUCGGGCUAGAGUCCGGAAGGGGCGAGUGGAAUUCCUGGUGUAGCGGUGAAAUGCGCAGAUAUCAGGAGGAACACCAAUGGCGAAGGCAGCUCGCUGGGACGUGACUGACGCUGAGACGCGAAAAGCGUGGGGGAGCAAACAGG
rnacentral:rRNA from 1 species